rnacentral:antisense_RNA from 1 species
GAUCUCAGCUCCAACACCGAGGCCUCUGUGUUCCCUAGAGAAGCCACUCUGGAUGGUCUCUCUAAAGUCUGCCUCCUUCCCUGGCCAGCUCUACAACUUAGAAUGCCUGAAUAUAUACAAAUAUGAACAAGACCCACAAGGACUGCUCAUCACCCCAGUAUUCCAUUUACAGCAUCCUGAAUGAACUCCCGACCAGGACUAUAAUUCUCUCUUGCAGCCAAAUAUCCUGCUUACUCCUGGUAUCUACCUGGUCAGCAGACCUCAUGAGUUAUCGCCCAGUGACAAAACCAUCCCAAAGAUGCACCAGUCCAGCACAAAGUAUGACUGUCAAUCUCACAAAAGAUGUAGGGUUCUAGGAGGAUACUCAGAGUAUAAGAAUUACGCUAAGUGAAAUAAGCCAAGCCCAGAAAGACACAUACUUUAUUAUUUCAUGUAUCUGUGGAAUCUAAAAGAGUCAAAUUCAUGGCAGCAGGGAGAGGGCUGAAGAAGGGGGAGAUGUUGAUCAAAGUUUCUAUGUAUGCAAAGACCAAACCAUCACAUUAUGCCUCAUAAAUAUAUACAAUUAUUAUUUGCUAAUUACAAGUAAAGCAAUAAAAGAAGAAAAAAAGGAAUCAUAAGUAAAUCCAUGACAAGUGAAAAUGCAAUGGAGAGAAGGGAAUCAAUGAUUGAAGAAGAGAAAGGGCAGUGGAUUCACAACUGCUUCGAAAGAGUGAUUUGACUGGCAAAGGACUGGGGAGAGGUCCUU